UGAUUCUUAAUCUUGUUCCAAGAAAUACGCAACGCACGCUAAGGUUGAUGUUCAAGAAAUAAAGAAAUCAAGCUAGGAUGGAACUAGAAACCCAUUUUAGCAUAGUAUUUUAUUAUGUUUGGUUUAUGAUGUACUUGAAAACAAUGUAUUCCAUUUGAUAUUUAUGAAAUAAAUUUAAAUCAUAUUGUCACAAUAGUGUUAUGUUGUUUUGAGCAAUUUGUACGUCUCAUCCCGAUGUUUCCGCCAUCGGUUGGGGUGUGACAUAAAGAACCUAAGUAAUGUAGUUAGGUUCUUUAUUGGGUAUAUGCGAGUUAACAAUAUUGACAAUUUAAGUACUCUACAGACUACACUAGAUGAUAACAAACCUUCUUAAAGCAGGCCAACAUAGGAAAGCAACAUAAGAUGCCAUGAUCCCUGAUGACAGAAGUCCUUUGUUCACAUGUUUCAAGUUUUGUGAAAGAUUACCCUGCAACAAUUCGAGCAAGUUCACCUACAAGAAACUUGAAGUUAUUAGAUCAAUAA
rnacentral:lncRNA from 1 species